rnacentral:rRNA from 1 species
CUACGGGCUGCUCCAGUGAGGAAUAUUGCACAAUGGGGGGAACCCUGAUGCAGCAACGCCGCGUGGAGGAUGACGCAUUUCGGUGUGUAAACUCCUUUUAUAUGUCAAGAAAAUGACGGUAGCAUAUGAAUAAGCACCGGCUAACUCCGUGCCAGCAGCCGCGGUAAUACGGAGGGUGCGAGCGUUACUCGGAAUCACUGGGCGUAAAGGACGCGUAGGCGGGUUGGAAAGUCAGGUGUGAAAUCCUACAGCUUAACUGUAGAACUGCACUUGAAACUUCUAAUCUAGGGUAUGGGAGGGGGAGAUGGAAUUAGUGGUGUAGGGGUAAAAUCCGUAGAUAUCACUAGGAAUACCUAAAGCGAAGGCGAUCUCCUGGAACAUUACUGACGCUAAGGCGUGAAAGCGUGGGGAGCAAACAGGAUUAGAUACCCGAGUAGUC